CCUUGGGCACUGGGAGUUAGUAAUGUUGGUGGACUUGAACUUGAAAAAUGAUGUGUACUAAAGUCUUUCUUUGGUUGAAAUGUGGUUCAUUCAUGUUUAUUUGAUGAUAUAAAUGAACUAGUAAGAAGAGAUGAUCGGUUCAUGAGCCGCUACAGAGCCACAAAACGGUUAUAUCAAAUUCAUACACACAAGGACAAGAUUACGGACCCCCCAUUGCACUUGAGGCCUUGCACAGUCUCGGUGGAUGGUUCCAACAGUGAACGGGCUCGACUGAGUUAUUCAAGAUGGUCUUGCAGUUACAAGGGAGGUAAGAGAGCAAUACAUUUCCUUUGA